rnacentral:rRNA from 1 species
GUUCUUUCUAUGGACGGGUAAAAGCUACGCUAGGGAUAACAGGCUUAUACGCCCAUAGAGCAUUAUCAACGGGCGUGUUUGGCACCUCGAUGUUGGAUCAUCGCAUCCUUGAGCUGCAGAAGGUUCAAAGGGUCGGACUGUUCGUCCGAGAACGCGGUACGUGAUCUGAGUUCAAAGCGUCGUGAGACAGUUUGGUUUCUAUCUUUGUGCAUAUAUAAAAAAAGGGAUUUCAUACCGUACGAAAGGAUUGUUGUGACUAAAAUCUCUCAUAAGAAUGACAUUUAACCCACUUUUUAUAACAAUAGGUUAUUGAGCCCAAAAUUGAUA